GAUGAACGCUGGCGGUCUGCUUAACACAUGCAAGUCGAACGGAAGUAGCAAUACUUUAGUGGCGGACGGGUGAGUAACACGUAGGAAUCUGCCUGGUAAUGGGGGAUAACCCGGGGAAACUCGGGCUAAUACCGCAUACGCUCUACGGAGGAAAGCGGGGGAUCUUCGGACCUCGCGUUAUCAGAUGAGCAUGCGUCCGAUUAGCUAGUUGGUGGGGUAAAGGCCCACCAAGGCGACGAUCGGUAGCUGGUCUGAGAGGACGAUCAGCCACACUGGAACUGAGACACGGUCCAGACUCCUACGGGAGGCAGCAGUGGGGAAUAUUGGACAAUGGGCGCAAGCCUGAUCCAGCAAUGCCGCGUGUGUGAAGAAGGCCUGCGGGUUGUAAAGCACUUUAAGCAGGAAAGAAGGCUUCAGGGUUAAUACCCUUGGAGAUUGACGUUACCUGCAGAAUAAGCACCGGCUAACUCCGUGCCAGCCGCCGCAGUAAUAC
rnacentral:rRNA from 1 species